rnacentral:rRNA from 1 species
UACAGAGGUCCCAAGCGUUGUUCGGAUUCACUGGGCGUAAAGGGUGCGUAGGCGGUCGGGUAAGUCUGAUGUGAAAUCUCACAGCUUAACUGUGAAACUGCAUUGGAUACUAUCCGGCUUGAGGAAUGGAGGGGAGACUGGAAUACUUGGUGUAGCAGUGAAAUGCGUAGAGAUCGGGAAGAACACCAAGGGCGAAAGCACUUUGCUGGGCCGAAACUGACACUGAGAGACGAAAGCUAGGGUAGCGAAUGGG